GCCUGGAUAGCUCAGCUGGUUAGAGCAUGGUGCUGAUGAUGGUAAGGUUGCAAGUUCAAUUCCCUAUUUCUGCAUUGCA